CACAAAGGGUCCUGGCUCCCUUCUCCCCACUCUGUGCCCGUUUCCUGAAUUAUCAGCCUCUGUUUGUGAUUCUCCUCCAAAGAAGAAUUCCUCCGCUACCAUGGCACCGACUCCUGUUUCAACCCAAAUGGCCUGGGGAAGUCUGUUCUAGUCCUCCACCUCUCUCAAAGGAUUCUUCUGGACCCCCAAGAUCAGUGCUCCUUGGACUGCAGCAGAGGAAUCAGAAACAAAUGUGAAAUGGCUCUAAUGGAAAGGAAACCACUGAUCCCAGAGUUUAUUUUGCUGGGAGAAAGAAGAAUAUUGAAUAGAAACACUCAAUUCAAUGUUGACGGAGUGCCGCCUAAAGGGUCAUCAGAGAAAAGCUGUCUAUCACGCAAAGGGUGAGAAUAGACCUCAUGACAGUCAGCCUGCAUAGAAGAACCCAAGCCAGUAGGUAUAAAUAAAUGAUCAGGAACCUGGGGCCAGAGCCAAGAGUCCCAGAGAACAAAUAGAAUUGACAUUUUGAAAUAGAUGGAGGAUAAAUAAAAAGUUUU
rnacentral:lncRNA from 1 species